UAUAAUAGAUGACUCUAGUGGAGAAAUUAAGCUCCCAUUAAGUCCCCUAACUAGUAUAAAACACGAUUACUCCCCUUCUUCUUUUUUUGCACAAACAUUAAAACCACUUAACGAAAUGACUUCCUUUUUCUUAUCCUUACUAGUUUUGUUCGUUGGUGUUCUUAUCAUUCUUCCACAAGGUCUUGCUGACGAUUACCUAUUUCAACCAAACGGUAAGGUUCGGAGACCCGCAAUUCCAUUGCCACUGAUGGUAAAACGACCCGUACCAAAACCAAAGUACCUGAAAUCACCAAAUGAAGAACUACCAAUUAGAAAACCACCAAUUAAAAGAACAACCAACUGAAGACCGACCAAUUGAAAAAGAACAAUUACUUUAAAGCUAAUAUCCAUUUUCUAAGGCAUGAGAUACAUUUUGUACAAUGUUUGGCCAAGUUAAUAACAUCGUUUGUGUGGCAUGAAUAAAAUCAUGAUAGAAAAAGUUGUACUCUUUCAUCAAAUUUACAAAUAAAUAAAUGUUAUGAUUUUGAGGUUGUGUUUGUACUGCUUGAUAUGUUAUAUAUGUAAUUUAUGAUCUAAGUACUUUAAUAUAUAAUGUAUAAGCACAAACUUGUAUCGUAUUUUGCUACUAUACCUUUCUAUAAUUAAUAUUAGUUUGACUUUAUAAAAAAAAGAUUUUGAUUAAUAAAAAAAUCAAGGCCUUAUACUAUUAUACACUAUUUUUAAGUUUAGUUUGAGUUUUCUUUUAACUCUAACAAAAAUCCUAGACUAAAUUUUUAUUAGGUUUAAUGUUAAUUAACAACAACAAAAUAAUAAUCUUGGCAUUCAAACUAUUGUCUCUCUAUUCCCUUCUCACACUUCACACUUUGUAACACACCAAUAUUUUCACAUUAUUUUAUAUACCUACACCUAUAUCCUAGUAAUUAUCUAGAACUAUUAUUUAAUAAUUUAUUCUAUGUGAUCAUGAAUUAAAAGAAAAUAUACCAAGUGUGCUAAAAGUAUCUAGAAAAUAUUACUUACGAAUAAUCAAAUUAAAAGUAAUAUUGCAUAAUUAUUGAAAUUGAUAAUUAAGGGUUUUAUAACUAAAUUCAUUUGUUGAUAAGAUAUGUGUACAUUAUGUUUUUAAUUAACAAACGUUAGCUAAUUUAAUUGUUGAAAUUUAAGUGGUUCUUUUAAAAUUAUUGGUUUAGAAUAAUAUUUCAUUCAAACGAUGUUAAAUAGAUUUUAUAGGAUAUAUAUUUGGAAGCUAUUUUGACUAAUUCAACUUAUUAGUUCCAAAUUCUUCUCUCAUUCUUUUUCCAUUAAUUAGUCACGGUAAACUUUAUUUUCACUCUUACUAUUAAUUUUAUUAAUUUUGUUAGUAUUUAAAACACCACCAAUUCAUUAUUUUAAUAAUGAUUUUUAAUUUAGCAUUCACUACUCAGACAUACGUUAUUCAAUCCAUGAAUUCUAAUUAAUACCUUUUAUUUUCUAUCAAGAGUCGGUGACAUGUCUAUUGAAAAUAAACAAACAAAGAAUUUCAUGCCCUCCGGUUACAAAAAACCGAUACCGAUUACAAACUCAUUUUGUUUUCCUAUUCAUUCUCGUCUAUUUUUCACAAAAUAAACUUGUUUCAAACAUGGAUCACCGUGGGAAUCACACCAUAACUACAAUGGAACCACCACUAAGGUGAAAACUAUCUUGACGUCUUUGAUUCUUCAACCUUAACAUCAAUCCUAAAUUUUGACUAAAACUACAAAUUAAAUUUAAUUAUAGUAUAUAUUUUGUUUAAAUAUUCACUAUGUCUAUAACGCUGAUUCCAAUUAGAGAAAUAAUAUAUAUUGAUUGGAAUUUAGUAAAAUUGUUUUAUAUUCUUAAUAGAUACAAUCAUUUUAGAUAUAUUUUUAUAGUAAUUCUAAUUUUGAAAAAUUGAUAUGAUUUUGUAUUAAAAAUUAAAAUUCAGUUUUAUGCUUUGUGCAAAUUUCUUUUGGCCUGCAUUAAACUUUUAAUUUCACGUAGAAAAAGAUAUACCGUAUAUUUCAUUUUAAUUAUAUAAACAACAAUUAUGUAAAAAAAUAGAGGUAUUAUGUAGUAUAUGAUAUUUAACUUUUUUUUUUGUUUAAAGUUGGAUUUAUUCAUAUUCGAUUAGUUGAAAAUAGAUGAUUUGUGCAUAUUAUAAUUUUUUUUUCAUUGUCAAAAGUUUUAAAUAUUGUUAGUUUUAAAUAUAUAAUCGGAUUUAUAUGAACAUCGUUAUUUGUAUAUAAUAAUUGUACAUUAUAUGAUACCUUAUUUUAAGAUUUUAUUUUGAAUUAUAAAUAAUUUAUUUUAUUUGGGUUGCUUGUUGUGUCUCCUAAUCAUUAGUUACAAUAAUCGACAAAAUAAGAUGUAGAAUUGAUAAGAUAUUCAUGAUCGAUGUCGUUGCAGAAUUCCUUAUGCCUCGUCAUGAUGUGCAGAAUCUCCAAUCGAGGUAAAGGGUGAGAGAGCGUUUGAAUUCAUGAAUAUAAUAUAUUGUGAGAGGAACGGAAAAAUCAUAUUUCCCAAUGAUUUAUUCGGGGCCGGAAAAAUCAUAUUUCCCAAUGAUUUAUUCGGGGCUCGCUACGUACGGCAGAAGCCCUCUGAGGAAUAAAUUAAUUAAUUUGAAAAUAUGAAAAUUGUGAGAUUAAAAUAUAGAAUAAAAAUAUUUGUAAGGUGUUGAUUGAUUUAAUUUGUUUCAUUGUGUUAUUGGGUGUCAAAUGAAUUUUAUGUUUAUAUUUGAUUAGAUGAGUUUAUUUGAUGUGAUAAUAAAAGAUGAAUGCAUUGUGAUGAUGAUGAUCAUGAUGAUGUCUGGUUGAUAAUUGUGAUGUUAUAAAUGUGUGAUAAGUUUAUGUGAUGAGGUAUGAUUGAUGUUACGAAGCUAUAAAUUUAUGAUGAGUUUAUGUGAUUAUGAUGAUGUGUGAUUAAUAUUUGUGAUGAUAUAAAUUUGUGAUGAGAAUAUUGAAGUACCAUCAUAGUUGAUGAAAUAAUAGUGAUUCCAAUUUGUGUUUGAGAUAAUAUUCUUAAUGGAGUAUCAUAGGCCAACGACGAGAGGAGAAAAUAAAUAUUGAUAAUUUGUGAAGUGAUGAUUUUUUUGUUAUCAUAUAUAUAUAUAUAUAUAUACCUAGUGAUUCCGGGGAAGUACAACUGAAUGAGCCUAAUCGUGGCGAUCUGUUGUUCAAUUAAAAAAAACUAGAUAAAAAGAGAAAAGAGAAGUCAUUCUCAUUUUUCCAAAAUUAGUCACAGUAGAAUUUCAAUUGUGCAUGUAUUCACUGUUGAAUCUGACUAAACUUUUGAAGCAUGUAUGCAACACAUAAAUCUUUGUAAAUACAAAUUUGAGAUAUAAUAGAUGACUCUAGUGGAGAAAUUAAGCUCCCAUUAAGUCCCCUAACUAGUAUAAAACACGAUUACUCCCCUUCUUCUUUUUUUGCACAAACAUUAAAACCACUUAACGAAAUGACGACUUCCUUUUUCUUAUCCUUACUAGUUUUGUUCGUUGGUGUUCUUAUCAUUCUUCCACAAGGUCUUGCUGACGAUUACCUAUUUCAACCAAACGGUAAGGUUCCGAGACCCGCAAUUCUAUUGCCACUGAUGGUAAAACGACCCGUACCAAAACCAAAAUACCUGAAAUCACCAAAUGAAGAACUACCAAUUAGAAAACCACCAAUUAAAAGAACAACCAACUGAAGACCCACCAAUUGAAAAAGAACAAUUACUUUAAAGCUAAUAUCCAUUUUCUAAGGCAUGAGAUACAUUUUGUACAAUGUUUGGCCAAGUUAAUAACAUCGUUUGUGUGGCAUGAAUAAAACCAUGAUAGAAAAAGUUGUACUCUUUCAUCAAAUUUACAAAUAAAUAAAUGUUAUGAUUUUGAGGUUGUGUUUGUACUGCUUGAUAUGUUAUAUAUGUAAUUUAUGAUCUAAGUAC
rnacentral:lncRNA from 1 species